UACACAUAUGAAAUGAACAUAAAGUUUUAGAAGAACGAAGAUUGAAUGCAAUCACAUCCAUUGAGGAUUCCUUUACUUGCUGAAGUUUGUAGUGUACAAAUGUGAUUUUGCCUGCUCUUCACUCUGCGGCCAUAUAUAGCCCUCUGAGCGAGCACACUCUCUGCCACUACAGAUGUCUAAUUUAACGGUUUCCACACGAGUCAGAGGUGUUCAUGCGUCAACAAUUGGAGCUGUUCUUGCACAUUGCCUGCUUUUUUCCUCAGAGCAGGAGGACUAGUAGCAGACAGAUGGAGGGGCAGAGUGACAUGGAAAGCAACAGAGCAGAGGAGAGAAGGAACCUUUCGUGUUGCUCUGUAGCCUGGAUUACAGCGAAGAUAAAGCCAGAGAUAAUACAUCCUCUUACAUGCUCCUGUUGUGUCUCGCAUGCACCGACAAACACACCUUUCCCUUCAUCGGUUUUAAUCUCGCACAAUGGAGUCUCAACAGUUCCCUUCCUUUUGUACUUCCCACUCUCAAACAACACUUCUGUUCAGCCAGCCAUCUGUUAAUGUCGAGGCUCACAUCUGCGCUGCUGUAGAAAUAAAUACAUUAAGCUGUCUCCAGACAAAUCUUACCUACUUGGUGUUAUUUUGUAAUACCUGUAUAGAACAUUUACACCUUCACAACCUUAAAACUGAAGCUUUCCCCACAUUAUUAAAGGCUAAAACCUCGCUUUACGGCUUUUACCUGUGGACAUACUUUGUGUGUGUGC